AGGUGGCUGCAUGGCGUGUCGUCAGCUCGUGUCGUGAGAUGUUGGGUUUAAGGUCCCGCAACGAGCGCAACCCUUGCCUUUAGUUGCCAGCAGUUCGGCUGGGCACUCUAAAGGGAACUGCCGGUGUUAAACCGGAGGAGGGUGGGGGAGUGACGUCAAGUCCUCAUGGCCUUUAUGACCAGGGCUACACACGUACUACAAUGGCCGAUACAAAGGGCAGCGACACUGCGAGGUGAAGCCAAUCCCGUAAAAUCGGUCUCAGUCCGGAUUGGAGUCUGCAACUCGACUCCAUGAAGUUGGAAUCGCUAGUAAUCGUGGAUCAGCAUGCCACGGUGAAUACGUUCCCGGGCCUU
rnacentral:rRNA from 1 species